ensembl:snRNA U6 U6 spliceosomal RNA
GUGCUCGCUUGGGCAGCGCACACACUAAAAUUGGAAAGACACAGAGGAGAUUGGCAUGGCCCCUGCAUAGGGAUGACAUGCAAAUUCAUGAAGUUUUCCAUAUUUAA